GUGCUUAGUUUGGCAGCAUAUACACUAAAACUGGAAAGAUACAGAGAUCGCCCCUGCAUGAGGAUGGCUUGCACAUUUGUGUACUGUUCCAUAUUUUA
ensembl:snRNA U6 U6 spliceosomal RNA